GUGCUCGCUUCAGCAGCACAUGUACUAAAAUUGGGACUCUGCAGAGAAGAUUAGCACAGCCCCUGGGCAAGGAUGACAUGCAAAUUCAUGAAGUGCUCCAUAUUUUU